rnacentral:rRNA from 1 species
AUUUGGGGAUUAAUAAAUUUAUAUUUAAUAAAAAUAAUUUUAAUUUAAUAAAUAUUUUAAUGGGGGUUAAAGUAUUUUUUAAAGAAAAAAUUUUUAAUUUUAUAGUAUAAUAGUAUUGUGUAAGAAUUUUGAAAUAAUUGAAAAUUUAAUUUUAAUAAAGUAAUUUUUAUUUGAUGUAUCUUGUGUAUCAGAGUUUAUUAAAAUUUUUAAUUUUUAAAUUAAUUUCUCGAAUUUAAAAGAGUUAAAUAAUUAUUAAAUUUAUUGUUGCAAAAAUAUUUUAAAUAAUUAUUUAGAAAUGAAAUGUUAAUCGUUUUUAAAUAUAUCUAGUUUUUAUAGAAAAAAUUUUAAUUUUAAAUUUAAUUUUAUUAUUAAUUAAUUAAUUAAUUAAAUAAUUAUUUAAAUUUUAUAUUUUAAGGGAUAAGCUUUAAAUUAAAUUUUUAUAAUAAAAAAUAUUUAUUUUUGAAAAUUUUAUAAUUUAUAUUGUUAAUAAAUUUUAUUUUAUUAUAAAUAAUUUCAUUUUAUUAAAAAAUUUAAAUUUUUAUUUAAUUUUUUAUAUAAAAUUUAUUUUUAAUUACUAAAAAUUAAUUAUAAUGAUAAAAUUAGUAUAUUAUAUUUAAAAAAUUAUUUUUAAUUUGAAUUUUAUUAUUUAAUUUAAUUAAUUAAAAGGAAUUCGGCAAAUAUUUAUUUUCACUUGUUUAUCAAAAACAUGUCUUUUUGUUGAUUUAUUUAAAGUUUAAUCUGCCCCCUGAUUUUAAUUGAAGGGCUGCAGUAUUUUGACUGUACAAAGGUAGCAUAAUCAUUAGUCUUUUAAUUGGUGACUUGUAUGAAAGAUUGGAUGAGAAAUAUACUGUCUCUUAAUUAAUGUGUAGAAUUUAAUUUUUUAUUUAAAAAGUUAAAAUAAAUUAAAAAGACGAGAAGACCCUAUAGAGUUUAAUAAAUUUUUUUAUGAUAAUUUUAUUUGUAUUAAAUUGAAAUAAUUUUAUAAAUUUAUUUAUUUUAUUGGGGUGAUAGAAAAAUAAAUUUAACUUUUUUUAAAGAAUUUAACAAAAAUAUAUGAUUAAAUGAUCCAGUUUAUUAUUGAUUAAAAGAUUAAAUUACCUUAGGGAUAACAGCGUAAUUUUUUUUUUUAGUUCGAAUAAUAAAAAAAGUUUGCGACCUCGAUGUUGGAUUAAGAUAAAAUUUAAAUGUAAAAGUUUAAAAUUUUGAUCUG